GGCGUCAGGAUGAACGCUGGCGGCCGUGCCUAAUACAUGCAAGUCGAACGCACAGCGAAAGGUGCUGCACCUUUCAAGUGAGUGGCGAACGGGUGAGUAACACGUGGAUAACCUACCUCAAGGUUGGGGAUAACAUUUGGAAACAGAUGCUAAUACCGAAUAAAACUUCGUAUCGCAUGAUACAAGGUUAAAAGGCGCUACGGCGUCACCUAGAGAUGGAUCCGCGGUGCAUUAGUUAGUUGGUGGGGUAAAGGCCUACCAAGACAAUGAUGCAUAGCCGAGUUGAGAGACUGAUCGGCCACAUUGGGACUGAGACACGGCCCAAACUCCUACGGGAGGCUGCAGUAGGGAAUCUUCCACAAUGGGCGAAAGCCUGAUGGAGCAACGCCGCGUGUGUGAUGAAGGCUUUCGGGUCGUAAAGCACUGUUGUAUGGGAAGAACAGCUAGAGUAGGGAAUGACUUUAGUUUGACGGUACCAUACCAGAAAGGGACGGCUAAAUACGUG
rnacentral:rRNA from 1 species